AAUAGCAGUUCCAGCAUAGAGUUUGAAAUAUAUCAGCAACACCAAUUACAAAACCACUCCAAUUUCCAGUUCCCUCUUCCCUUUUAACACUAAAAUCAUGUCGGACAAGUGCGGAAGCUGCGACUGUGCUGACAAGAGUCAAUGCGUGAAGGGUAACACCUUCAGCAUGGACAUUGUGGAGACAGACAAGAGCUACGCUGAGACGGUUCUGUUGGAUGCUCCAGCAGCUGAGAACGACGGCAAUUGCAAGUGCGGUCCAAGCUGCGCUUGCAUCGACUGUACCUGUGGUGAAUGAACGCAAAAUAAUUAGUUACAGGGACACAAAAACUUUAUACUAUUUAAGUAUGUUUGAAUAAGGUUUUAUCGUUGUACUCCCCUGUUGUGUCAAUUUGUGUCCCUGUCUGUCUUUUACAUUUAAUUUUACUUGUGUUCUGUCAUUAAUGAAAUAUUAUUAGUGUCUACAUGUUCU